rnacentral:rRNA from 1 species
CACUCCUACGGGAGGCAGCAGUGGGGAAUAUUGCACAAUGGGCGCAAGCCUGAUGCAGCCAUGCCGCGUGUAUGAAGAAGGCCUUCGGGUUGUAAAGUACUUUCAGCGGGGAGGAAGGCGAUAAGGUUAAUAACCUUGUCGAUUGACGUUACCCGCAGAAGAAGCACCGGCUAACUCCGUGCCAGCAGCCGCGGUAAUACGGAGGGUGCAAGCGUUAAUCGGAAUUACUGGGCGUAAAGCGCACGCAGGCGGUCUGUCAAGUCGGAUGUGAAAUCCCCAGGCUCAACCUGGGAACUGCAUUCGAAACUGGCAGGCUAGAGUCUUGUAGAGGGGGGUAGAAUUCCAGGUGUAGAGGUGAAAUGCGUAGAGAUCUGGAGGAAUACCGGUGGCGAAGGCGGCCCCCUGGACAAAGACUGACGCUCAGGUGCGAAAGCGUGGGGAGCAAACAGGAUUAGAUACCCUUGUAGUCCCAUGA